GAAAUUUCAUUAUUUUCCUUCAGCUUUGCGCAAUUAUUCAGAGACGAUUAGUAUGGGCCUUGUGCAAGGAUGACAACAAAGUUUGAAAAAUGGUUCCGAUAAUU